UCACGUCAACUCGAACACGCAAAACCCCGGUAUGAAGCAUUGUCAUGAGCAUGCCAAACCAACAGAUGGCGAUAUAUUCCUUAACCCAGAGAAGCCACUCCAGUCUCGUCUUGCCAUGAACAAGGAAAAAAUGCGGGAGCUGACUUCGCAGACGUAACGUUACGUGGUUCAGGUCAUUGGCACUGCUGUAUCACAACAUCAUUUGCUGGCAUGUACAUCUAGGAUGCAAUCAAUCCAGAUGAGAUUCUCUCCAAUGCCAGCAAACCGACAGUGGAAGACACGAGCCAGCACUUCUCCCACCACAUUGCUUCAGGCUUUUGAGAUACCCACUUAUAACUGCUUCUCCCC